rnacentral:rRNA from 1 species
UACGUAGGGGGCAAGCGUUGUCCGGAUUUAUUGGGCGUAAAGCGCGUGUAGGUGGCCAUGGAGGUCCGCUGUGAAAACUUGAGGCUCAACCUCAAGCUGUCGGUGGAAACCACAUGGCUAGAGUCCGGAAGAGGAGAGUGGAAUUCCUGGUGUAGCGGUGAAAUGCGCAGAUAUCAGGAAGAACACCAAUGGCGAAGGCAGCUCGCUGGGACGGUAUUGACGCUAAGGCGCGAAAGCGUGGGGAGCAAACAGG